UUACUUGUAUGAAUCUUCUUGACAUCACGGGCCUCGUGAGAAGAUUGAAAAAUACAAAAGCAUUCGAAUUAGUGAUAUAGUAUGUUGCACUCAAAACUAAUUAGUCUCAACUGCUAAAUAGUGCUAUAUUCAUUUCUCCAAGAACGGUUGAUGGAUGGGGCAAAAAACUCCUGGACACCGAGGAAUAGUUGGCGAAGCGUUGGACGGUCUCCCACUAGGUGGACAGAUGACCUGGUGAUGGUGGAGGUAAGGCAAAGCGCGGGGAACCGGCCGUACUGGCGAUUUAGAGAAGAGCUACCGUCCAGUGAGGACGUCAACAGGCUGAAACGCACGAUUCUUCGUCAAAAUAAUUUUAAUUUGAUUAAAUGGACGUGAUUAAGAAUAAUAUGGAAUGAACUGUAUGAAGGUCUGAGACCAAUAUAUAUAUAUAUAAUAUAUUAUUUUAAAUUUUA